GGUUAAGCGACUAAGCGUACACGGUGGAUGCCCUGGCAGUCAGAGGCGAUGAAGGGCGUGCUAAUCUGCGAUAAGCGCCGGUAAGGUGAUAUGAACCGUUAUAACCGGCGAUACCCGAAUGGGGAAACCCAGUGUGACUCGUCACACUAUCAUUAACUGAAUCCAUAGGUUAAUGAGGCGAACCGGGGGAACUGAAACAUCUAAGUACCCCGAGGAAAAGAAAUCAACCGAGAUUCCCCCAGUAGCGGCGAGCGAACGGGGAGGAGCCCAGAGCCUGAAUCAGCAUGUGUGUUAGUGGAAGCGUCUGGAAAGGCGCGCGAUACAGGGUGACAGCCCCGUACACAAAAGCGCAUGUGUUGUGAGCUCGAUGAGUAGGGCGGGACACGUGGUAUCCUGUCUGAAUAUGGGGGGACCAUCCUCCAAGGCUAAAUACUCCUGACUGACCGAUAGUGAACCAGUACCGUGAGGGAAAGGCGAAAAGAACCCCGGCGAGGGGAGUGAAAAAGAACCUGAAACCGUGUACGUACAAGCAGUGGGAGCACAGGUUUACCUGUGUGACUGCGUACCUUUUGUAUAAUGGGUCAGCGACUUAU
rnacentral:rRNA from 1 species